CCUACGGGGGGCAGCAGUGGGGAAUUUUGGACAAUGGACGCAAGUCUGAUCCAGCAAUGCCGCGUGCAGGACGAAGGCCUUCGGGUUGUAAACUGCUUUUGUACAGAACGAAAAGGCUCUGGUUAAUACCUGGGGCUCAUGACGGUACUGUAAGAAUAAGCACCGGCUAACUACGUGCCAGCAGCCGCGGUAAUACGUAGGGUGCGAGCGUUAAUCGGAAUUACUGGGCGUAAAGCGUGCGCAGGCGGUUUUGUAAGACCGAUGUGAAAUCCCCG
rnacentral:rRNA from 1 species